GGGCGGACCGACACUUAAAAUAAGCAUACACUGUACACCGUCGCCGCCGCCGCCGCUUUUGAAACGCGCCAAAAAAGCUCGUUGCCGCCGCUAGUGAUCGCCAGUGCGCUCUCCGUGUGCGGUUGUUGCGGACGUCGGCAGCAGCGGGUCUCGACCGUCUUACACAAACACACACACACACACGAGCACACUCGCAUGAACGCACGUACGCGAAUUUCGGUUAUUUCAAUUUUUCGCUCGCGUCCAAGUCGAAUUCAACGCCGUCAUAACAUUCCGUCAUCGUAAAUCCGCCUCGGACAGCCGUUGCCGGGCGCGUGGCGUUCCGUUUUCGGAACGAUUGUUCAUCCAAGACGACCGCUGAGAAGGUCCCCGCGUGAAGACGAACCCCGUACGGCAAUCCGUCCGGUCGCCGGCGAAAACCCGUCUUUUGACUGCGAUACCACCACCGUCAGUGAUCGACGGCUCCAUUAGUCGGUUGUACAAUCGUACGCCGCGAACCGUACUCAUCGCCAUCGCUGCCGCCGGCUUCGAGGCGCGCUCGCUGUGAAAACCAAACGUUUCUCGUGACGCACGUGGUACCUACAUCGUGUACAAGCCCGGAAACAGCGGCAAUACUUUCGAAGGCCAAUGGCAAAACGGCAAGAGACAUGGGUUAGGCGUGGAAUCCCGAGGGCGGUGGUUGUACCG